rnacentral:lncRNA from 1 species
UUUAUUUUAUUUUUGCUAAGUAUCUUAUUUUGAUGUCUUGCCAAUUCCCUUUAAUUAUACAUUUUAGUCACAUGAACCUGUCUGUGGAUCCUGACACACACCACUGGGUUUCAUAACUUUGUGUCAUUCCAUAGGCUGGACUCCAUUUCUUUCCUGCCUCGUGAACUCCUAGUUGUUAAAACGCGGUACAAACUUCCUCAGUUUUUUUGCCUGCCCACUGCCCA